GACGUAGGGCGCGAGCGUUGUCCGGAUUUAUUGGGCGUAAAGAGCUCGUAGGCGGUCUGUCGCGUCUGCUGUGAAAACUCAGGGCUUAACCCUGAGCUUGCAGUGGGUACGGGCAGACUAGAGUGCGGUAGGGGAGACUGGAAUUCCUGGUGUAGCGGUGAAAUGCGCAGAUAUCAGGAGGAACACCGGUGGCGAAGGCGGGUCUCUGGGCCGAUACUGACGCUGAGGAGCGAAGGCGUGGGGAGCGAACAGG
rnacentral:rRNA from 1 species